GAAAACCCUGAAAAAUUUAAUAAUUAUUAAUUUCCGCCUUUUUGCAUGUUAUAAUAUUGUUGUAUUUUACAGUGGAUUUUGCGAAACGUUUUUCCAAGUUUCCCUUCGCGAUCAGCUGACCGCCAUGCCAAGCGCCAACGUCUCACGCACCGUCACGAAGUAGGUACCUACGACCGUUUUUUUAUACGAACGACGACUGUUUCGCAGCUCGAACUUUACGCUACUCUCGACCUCGGCUUUUGUUGAUUUUCGUCUCUACAAUCGCCGGUUGUUUGUCCGUACCAGUGUUUGCUGUUUUCACCGACCCAACGUAUUUUGUUGUCACUGCUUAAAAUUUUGACCAUACUAGGACAUAAUAUCGUCGACCCUGUUCGUGCUGUAUAGCUUUUCAAAAUGCGCUCAUUCGCAGUCAUCAUAAUGGUGGUGAUACCUAUUUGAUUUGUCUUGAUAUAACCAUAGAAUAGAUGAAUAGAAAAAAUAGAUUCUUUGUUAUUGAGGUUCAGUUUGGAUAUCCGAAAUGGUCGGGCGUACAUUAUAAUACCGACCAUGGUCGGACACAGCCUUUAAAAUACCUCACUUAACGAAAGGUUCAUUGCUCAGAUUGGACAAAUAGGUUGCCCAAAAGUUGUUGGAAAAAGAAUUGUAGUAAACCAAGAAAUCGACUUGACACUUCUUUACAGAUAACGACAAUGAAGAACAAGAUGUUAAAGAGACAAUUUUAAAAAGCAAUCUAAAACAUACAAUCAAAAGCCAUUAAGAAUUUAUGACUUAACAAUAAGUUGUGUGGUAAAUAUAUUAAUUUUAUAUUUUAAUAUUAUAUAGGUAAUGGAUAGACAUUAUCAAUCUGCUCUUGAAGAAACUGCAACAGAUGCUGGAGAGUUAUCAAGACAAGAAAUAUUGAAAAAAUUAUAUAACCGUAGUGUAAAUUAUUCAUCUUCAGAUUCUAAAGAUAAGCAGAAACGUCAUCGUUUGAGGAGGAUUAGUAACUAGUAACAAAAGUGAUAAAUGGAACCAACAAAAUUAACCAUAUUAUUAUAAAAAAACAAGAAAAUGUGGUAUCUAACUGUGAUCAUCGAUCCAGUAAAACACCAUAUAUUAGAAAUAAAGAUGAACCUUCAACUCCUAAUGUCAGACUUCAAGAUAUACCAAUUAGAAAAGAACAUUCUUUGAAAUGUAACAUUUCUAGCACGGCACAUAGGACAUGUUGUAUUUUCCUGUUGCAACUGGGUAACACACACAACACACACCCAUGCAUGACCACAUGGUAGCACAAUAUAUUUUUCAUCGCUUUCACCAAUGCAAGUCAUACAUAAAUUUAUGUUCUCUUGUUAUAUAUUUUGUACUGCAUCUGGA